GGAAGCAGAGCCGUGAUUUCGUUGAACAGCAUUCUUCCCAUGGCGGCUUCUUCCGCCCGUGUACUGUGUCGAUCAAGAUCUAGCAAUCAGACUCAAUAACAAGGUUUGCAAUAUGGAGACCUUGGUGCUGCAGGUGAUGCAGAGUGAAGGAUAAUAAGAGCCAUCAAUAUUGCAUUUCAGAGAGUCCCGAUCUGGAGGUUUCCACUGAUUUCCUAGUUCGACAGCAGCAGCCCCUGUUCGUUGUUGACGUUGAUCAGAAGAGGAGUGGAUUUGGUUUUGUGCAAAGGCAUCUUCAAUGGCCCGAUUGCGCUCAGAUGAGUGGAUUUAGUUCUGUGCAAAGGCAUCUUCAACGGCCCGAUUAGGGUCUGGUAACCGUCUACGAAAAAUCUAGUUGUUGCGCAUACACCAAACUUGCCACAAAACUUGUGCUAUUAUUGCCAAUCUAGGUACGAGCCUCUGAUUUGUUGACCGCUUUGUGAUCCAAUCAUCCAGACGCUGUAUUGUAGAAGGUGAGACAAAAAUGUUGAGCUUAGGAUGCUUCCAUACGUCGUUAGUCCAGGAACAGAAAAAGAACAGAUGUUCAAUAGUUUCUAGAGUCUGUUGAGUAUAGAGACUGCACAUAGGAGUGGGGGAAAUAUGUUGAUGAAACAAGUUAGCUUUAGUCGCAAGGGCAUUAUGGCAAGCUGUCCAUAUAAAAGUGCGAAUCUUGGGCUCUGUUUGCAUAGACCAUAUGUUGCGCCAAAGUAUUAUGGGGUUCUGGUGUGAUGUAGAUGCCUGUUGUGCACUCGAUGUACAUGCCGUGCUAACCAUUGAUCUAUAAUUGCUCUUCACUGUGUGAUGUCUGUCCUUGGUAGGUGUCCAGACUAAUUUAUCAGUAGUAAAGGCAGGUCGGAUAGGGAUUUUGACAAUUUUUGUACUAACCGGAGUAUCAAAUAGGUGAUGAAUUAGAGGAAGUUUCCAGGUCUAGGUGAGAGGAUCAAUAAGAUCGGCCACCCUCUCUGGCUCCUCUCGUAUUGCAGGUCCGGCUAUAGGUCCUAUAGGUAACCAACUAUCCUCCUGAAUCUUUAUAUACUUACCAUCCCCGAUCGACCAUCGUACAUUUGAUAGGAUGGCCUCUCUACCGAGGAGAAUACUCUGCCAUCCCCAUGAAGGACGUGUACCUCUAGCUGCCGUAUGGAAGGUCGCCGAGUUGAAAUACAACCCCUUAAAGAGUUGGCCCCACAAUGAGCAAGGUUGUUGAAUUAAGCGCCAAGCCUGCUUCCCAAGCAUCACUUUGUUGAAAGUCAUCAAGUCUCGAAAGCCGAGUCCUCCACCAUCCUUGUCAGCUUUAAGUAAAUCUCAUUUCUGCCAAUGCACCCCAACCCUACUAUGAUCAGUCGUCCACCAAAAUCUGGAAAUUUUCUGUUCAAUAAGUUUACACAAAGAUGUUGGAAUUUUGAAAAUUGACAUCGCAUAUUGAGGAAUUGCCUAUACAAUAUAUUUGAUUAGGAUCUCAUUUCCGCCUUUGGAAAAAAAUCUUUCUUUCCAACCCUCAAGCUUUGAAUUUAUUCUCCCUAAUAUCCAAGCAAACAUCUCCUUUUUAGAUCUGCCCCACUCUGAAGGAAUACCUAAAUAUUUUCCAUACUGAUGCAACACUGGCAUUCUAAAUAUUCCUUCUAAGUUUUCCUGUAAGCUCAACGGACGGUUUUUACUAAAAAAGAGGCCUGAUUUGUUCCAAUUUAUAACCUGUCUCGUUGCCAUACAGUACUGAUUGAGAAUAUUAGCAAGAUUCUAACAUUCCAUCAAAGUGCCUUUGAGGAAGAAAACUGAAUCAUCAGCGAAAAAAAGAUGCGACAGUGUCGAACAUGACCUAUUUAGCUUUAUACCAGUGAGAUGGCCAAUAUUAAUUGCUUGGUUAAUGAGGGUGGAUAGAAGAUUCGCCAAUAAAAUGAAGAUGUAAGGGGAAAGAGGGUCGCCUUGCUGGAUUCCUCUUGAUGGCCAAAAAUAUGAAAACUGCUCUCCAUUAAACCGAACACUUAAAGAGGUUGUAGUGAUGCAUUGUAUUACCAACUGAACCCAUCUUGGAUGAAAUCCCAACCGCAGGAGAUAAUCCGUUAGGAAAUCCCAUUCGACUUUGUCAUAAGCCUUUUGCAUGUCUGUCUUGAGGAGUACAUUGAAGUGUCUCUUCCUUUCCCUCAUUCAAAAUUGGUGUAGAGCCUCCUGGACGAUGAAGACAUUAUCCAAUAUUUGUCUCCCACUCACAAAGGCAGCCUGCUCUUCUAAGAUAAGGUCACAAAGCAGGGGUUUUAGGCGAUUGGCCAAGAUCUUGGAUAUAACCUUGUACGCAUAGUUACGGGCCGAUGGGUCUAAACUGAUCCAGACUUUCAGGGUGACUGUUUUUGGGUAUUAGAGCAAUGAUUGUCUUGUUGAGAUCGCUAGUCAACACCCCUGAACUAAAGAAGUCUCUUACUAAUUUGAGCAAAUCAUCCUAAAUGAUAUCCCAAUGGCAUUGGUAAAAUAGCCCAUUUAAACCAUCUAGACCCGGUGUUUUCGUUUUCCCCAGUUGAAAAGCUGCUUGUUUCACCUUGAAGAUAGUGAUAGAACCCAUUAAAUGAUCAUUCAUAUAAGCCGAUACAACCUAUGGACAAUGAUCCAGAAUUGGAACAUAAUUACGUGGGCCGCCUGUUGUAUAUAACUGUGAAAAAUAGGCAUAUGUUAGCUCCUUCAAAGCCUGAUUGUCCCUCACCUAGUUGUGAUGCUCGUCUUAUAACAUACCUAUCCUGUUUUGCUGCCAUCUCUGUAUAGUAGUUGCGUGAAAAAAUUUUGUAUUCUUAUCUCCCCGGCGCAACCAAUUAAUUCUAGAUCGCAUAGCUCAGUACUUUUCUUCUUGCCGCCAUAUAUUUCUGAUCUCAUCCUGAAGAUUAGAAGCUUCCUCUGUUUCAGUGCCGGAAUGGUCGAUUUAUAAUGAUUUGAAGUUGUUGUUGUAAUGCUUGCACCUUCAGGUGGCCGUUAGGAAAUUUGGAACGGCUCCAAACAUAUGACCUCUCGGCACUCUUGAUCUUGGAUCCAAUAAGCUUCGAAGAGGAAAGGCCUGCGACUCUUUUUAUAUAUAGCUGAAUUGGACAAAAGAAGCAGUAAUGAUUUGAUCCUAAGGCCGGCAAAGCAAACACCUCCGUCACAAGAUAUUGAAGUCGCCAAUCGAUAGUACACAAACACGGUCCAAUCGUUCCUUAACUAAUUUGUCACCGGCUUGAUUAUUCAUCCAUGGAUAGAGAAUCUCAUUGAAGUCCCCAGCGCAAAGCCAAGGUAGAGUAUUCGCGUUGCUGAUCCUUCUGAGUUCCUCCCAAAAUAACUGCCGAUUGUGGUAGGAUGAUGGAGCACGAAGACAAGUCAGCUGCUUCAGCCUAUCAUCCAUGGAAUCAUGACAUAGCAUAUCAAAAAGGGAUCACAAUUAUUGUGAGACUUUGCUCAAUUUGCAUCAUCUGCUGUGGAAUGUGCUAAUCAGGUGCAACAUUGGCAGAGGUGGGUGGAGCUGUUGGUAAGGGCAGGGUGACAACUAAAUCUUGUUGAGUCGACACUGGUAUAGCAGCAUCAAAGCUGGAGGUGUUCCAGGAAUUGUUUCUUCAUUCUAUUCAGCACUCUCUGUGGGGUUAUAGAACACUUCCUAGUAAGGACUAUGCUCUCCAACCUCCGCUUUUAGCCACUGACCAUAAGCCAUUUUAUCUUUAUCAUCCAUUUUUGCCUCUUCAAAAGGAUAUACUGGACAAUAUGUGGCAUAAUGGCCUAUCUUCCCGCAGGAAUAGCAGAAAUGAGACAGCCGUUGAUUUCUAAAGUCAAUCCAUAGUGUUCUCCCAUCAAGGCGAAUCAAUUUGCUGGACUGUAGAGGUUCGGCCAGGUUGACUUCUACUCUUACCCUGCUAGCCUUUAAUGUGGAUCCGUCAUGAAAAUUUGCUUUUAACCUCUAGAACUUCACCAACCUGUUUCAAAGCCUUUCUAAUCACCUUCUCUGCACUCCAUUCCAAAGGCAAUCCGAAGACAUGAACCCAAAAAGCGCAAUGGCUAAAGUCAUAAAGAUGUAAAGGCGUGUUAGGAAUCCAUGGUUUGAAGAUUACCAACUGACUUGAAAAAAGCCAUGGGCCACCUUCCAAUAUCCGCUGUUUCUCAACCGCUGACUUAAAUUUUGCUGUAUACAGGUCUCCCUCUCGCUGGGAAAUGUCGACCUGGUCCGUCCGCCAAACACGCUUCAAGGGCAGAGUCGUCCCAAACGUUUACACAAGGCAGCCAUUCGCAAGGAGUCAUCUCGAUUAUCCGAAGCCAUAUGCCGCAACACAGUCGGUACAAAUUUCAGCAGAGCAUUAUCAACAGGGAGAUAGAGAGAGAGCAUAGGCCGCGACACAAUCAGUACCAAUUUCAGCCGAGCAAAGAUGAAUCGUCAAGAGUGAAAGACCAAGAUAAAAAGAGACAAGGCAGGGAACAAAGACAGUCCGAUGGAAAUAAGGUUUCUUUAACUUCAAUGGCAGGAAAGGCAAAGCGGACAUUCUGCCCAUAUCCGAUUACAGAAUAUUCAACCAGAAACAAACAGUUCUUCAGAUGGAAUUGAGACACCACAGAGGUGAAUUAUUUCAUAGGUAAGGUAAUAAACCCUCCAGAAUCCAAGGAAUCGAGUAACAUCUGAGGUGAAUACUGAAAUAGAUGUGGCAAUCAACCAUCCCAAUUCAAGAACAGAAGAUGGUUAGGACAACUGGGUUACCGACUUAGGUGCGAAAACCAUCCGGGAGAAACGGCAAAUUGGAGACGCCGUCGACGAAGGCUUCAUUGGGUCAAGAGCGAACCAAGAAAGCUGAAAAAAUCGGAUGGAUUAAAGGUAGAUUAGGGUUGCGAUGGAGCAGUAAACUACCAUCGGUGGGUAGACGAUGCUCUGCAUGUCGAGAGAACUUGCUUCGAGUUUGCACCAACAUAAAAAUGACUUAGUUAGUUUGAUAACUAUGUUAUUUGGGGAAAAUUUUUAUAUUCACUAUUAAUUC